GCCUCAUACAGGCCAUGGGAAGACAUUACCUGUUGAUAACACAGACUAUUUUCAUGAUCAUGGGAGGUGUGAGAGAAUUGCUGCUCGUUGUGAUGACUGUGGGGGUUGUCAAAGUUUCUUGUUACCCCUGUUGGAAAGAUCCCAGAAGCAAGAUCAAGUCUCUCUGCAGAGGAGACUUGGAGAGCUGUCAUCAAAUGACGUCUCCAUUGUGCAUGCCCUGGCCUUGCUCCGAUCCAUAGGGUCU